rnacentral:snRNA from 1 species
AGACUUAUCUGGCAGGGGAGACACCAUGAACAUGAGGAUAGUUUUCCCAAGGCAAGUUUCAACCCUUGCACUCUAGAUGAUGAGCAAGGCAAGUUUCAACCCUUGCACUCCGGGUGAUGAGAGAUUACUUAACGGGUGCGAUGCAUGUGAUUUAGGUGAUGGAUACUGUGGAACACUGACUUCAC